GUGAGGAAUAUUGGACAAUGGGCGCAAGCCUGAUCCAGCCAUGCCGCGUGCAGGAAGACGCAUCUAUGGUGUGUAAACUGCUUUUGUACGGGAAGAAACACUCCCUCGUGAGGGAGCUUGACGGUACCGUAAGAAUAAGGAUCGGCUAACUCCGUGCCAGCAGCCGCGGUAAUACGGAGGAUCCAAGCGUUAUCCGGAAUCAUUGGGUUUAAAGGGUCCGUAGGCGGUUUAAUAAGUCAGUGGUGAAAGCCCAUCGCUCAACGAUGAAACGGCCAUUGAUACUGUUAGACUUGAAUUACAAGGAAGUAACUAGAAUAUGUAGUGUAGCGGUGAAAUGCUUAGAUAUUACAUGGAAUACCAAUUGCGAAGGCAGGUUACUACUUGUGGAUUGACGCUGAUGGACGAAAGCGUGGGGAGCGAACAGGAUUAGAUACCCUUGUAGUCC
rnacentral:rRNA from 1 species